CUUACAUCUUUUAUUCUUUAUCAUGUGGAGCUGCAGUUUGUCAGAGAUCAGCUGUGAUUAUCUGGUCUCAGCUCUGAAGUCCAACCCCUCCCAUCUGAGAGAGCUGAACCUGAGUAACAACAAUCUGCAGGAUUCAGGAGUGAAGCUGCUGUGUGGUUUUCUGGAGAGUCCACACUGUAGACUGGAGACUCUGAGGUCAGACACCAUUUUUUCCUUCUGUGCUAGCUGUGAUUAUCUGGUCUCAGCUCUGAAGUCCACCCCUCCCAUCUGAGAGAGCUGAACCUGAGUAACAACAACCUGCAGGAUUCAGGAGUGAAGCUGCUGUGUGGUUUUCUGGAGAGUCCACACUGUAGACUGGAGACUCUGAGGUAAGUUCACUGACUCUCUGUUACUGUUGUAGAUCUGAUAUGUUUAAUUAACAACUGAACCUAAUUUAUGUUCAUACAUAACUUACAUCCAUAAAGUUGUAAAUUUGCUUUUGUUCAUAUUUUCAUGUUUGUUGAACUAAAUUUAGUCUGCAGUCACAAAGACUUGUGUUUGUUAAAGAAACUGUAGAAAAUGUCCACUGUUAGUUGUUAAAGUAAAUGAAUGUUUAUAAUUGUUGGUAAAUGGUCACAUCUGGAUACAGAAGAUCCUCUGAACUAAUAUUUGUUUUAAACUGAUCAAGUUUACUGAAGGAGAAAUAUAUCUUUGGUUUCUGUUGAUUUCAAUGUGUUUUCAUAAAUAAUGUCUGAUCAUUGAUAUUGAUCCUUCAGAACACACACACACACACACACACACACGUACACACACACACACACACACACACACACACACACACUGAGUAUCUUAAUGCUAAAGUCUGUUUUCUUCUUCAGUGGUUUAGUCCAUUGACUGUUGCAGAGCAAUGUUGAGCUCCACAUUUAAAACUUGAAUAUAACAAGAAGAAUCUACACUGAAUAAUUCACUCUGAACCUCUUAAACUCUUGAUUUUCAUCUUAUACUCCACAUCAUGUUUUUAAUAAAAACUAAAUACAAUGAGUAAAUAAAUAAUCUCUACUUCAACAAUCAGUAAAUAACACAUUUAUUUAGUAUUUGCUGUUUCCAACAUUUUUAUGAAACUAUAUGGUGUUUAUACUGACCGAAUAGUUUAAACUGAAGAUAAUUUGAUUUUAUGACUCCACUAUUCCUAAAAGAAAUAUUGUAGAUGUCUUUUGUUCACAUUUUCUAAACUUCAGCUCUGAACAGAUUAUUAAACACUGAAUGAUUUCAAACAGGAACAUUGUUUUCUAAACUUACAUCUCUUAUUCUUUAUUCAGAUUGUGGAGCUGCAGUUUGUCAGAGAUCAGCUGUGAUUAUCUGGUCUCAGCUCUGAAGUCCAACCCCUCCCAUCUGAGAGAGCUGGACCUGAAUAACAACAACCUGCAGGAUUCAAAUGUGAAGCUGCUGUCUGAUCUUGUGAAGAGUCCACACUGUAGACUGGAGACUCUGAGGUCAGUAGAAGGUUGGAGUCAGUCCAUGCUGGCUUCAGCAGUAUUGUACAAAACACAGUUAGUAUCAAAGCAAAGAUCAGACAGAAAGACAGAGAGAGACUGUAAACACUGAUUUAUGACUUCUGUUGUCUGUCUUCUUCUCUCAUUAGAUGGAAGUGAUCUCAGUCAGAGUGUGAGUGGUGAGGAAGGAGGUUUUGUUGGAGGAUCAGCUGUGUCCUGAUGAUCCAGAGAGGUUGAAGCAGCAGCAUCAGCUCUGACUGGCCAUGUUACUGGGAGGUAGAGUGGAGAGGAGAGCUUCAUCCAGCAGUGACUGACAGAGGAAUCACAACCAGUGGAGAUGACUCUCAGUGCUGCAGUCUGAACUGCUCUGAGAUCAGCUCCACUGUCAGACACAAUGUCAACACAACUGUAGAUUGAAACUUACUUCAAUUGAUUUCUUUCUUUGCACCUUGUGGAACGAUGGAGAGUUGCAGUUAAUUUCCACAAUGUAUUUUGGAAUAAUUAAUAUUAGUGCAAUAUUAUAUAUUUAUUAUCUUUUAAAAUAGUUUUUUUUUGUAAUAUAUCCCAACAGAUUGUGUUAUUGCAGGAAACUGAACUAAAGCACUCUAAAGUCUGGUGAUAUUGAUCUAUUUUCAUUUUGAUAUUUGAUCCAUUGUUCUUAUGAAAAAUAUUGAACAGAGUUACUUAAAGUUACUGAAAUAUCUGGAUUUUGGUGAGAAGUCAGUGAACAUUGGUUACACAUUGAACACCAGAACAUUUUAAUACCUUGAUAUAUUAUUCUAUUUUUUAAAAUUAAUCAGCAAAAUAUAAAAUGAGCUAUAAUCUUGGUAAUAAUUAAGAUUAUGUGCAUGUAUAUAUUUGUUGUGUUUUCUCAUAUUGUGAAAGUUUAUUUUAUUGCAUCAAAAACACAAAUCUGUAUAUUGAAAUCACAUCUUACUUCUGAUUGAUAUAAAUCUCCAAAAUCCAGCUUCUAUAAAUAUAAAUUAUCUCCAUGUUGGUGUAAAUGAAGAAUAUUUUUUUAUUAUUUCUUUGGAUUCUCCAGAGUUUUAUUUCUGACUGAAGAAAAUUCAAGUGUUGGUUGUUUAUUGAUCUCCUGAUUUUCAAAUAAAUAAAUCAAUAACUACCACAAAUAUCAGCUUUUUCUCAUUUUAUAACAAAAUAAUAUUUACUUGUGAGGAACAGAAAUAAGAUAAAACCUGAACAAAGUGUGGAUUCAAUCAAAGCUUUACUGUAGUUUCUCAGUUUGCAGUCGGCUGUUUACGUCUUCAUUAGACUCUGAGCAUAAAACAAAGGUGGAAAGCCAUCUGACUCUGACUCCCACACUGAGAAAGAUCAUGUUUUAUUUACACAAUUAAAGUGAAUCAGUUUCCAACAAGUGCUCGUCCAGUCUGUUGUAACACAGAAGAAUUCAACUUUAGAGACUUAAAGGCAAAUUCCAUACAUGAACAAUAAAAAGGAAGCCCCAGAGUUAAACUGAAAACAGGAUUAGAAGCUGCUGUCACUCUCAAACUGAUUCCCUGGUCUUAAUACAGGAAGUCAUGUUCAGUAAUAACUCAGUUUGAGUUGUUCAACUUCUCUGAUGACGUCCUCAGUAACAGGAGAAGAUGGUGAUGAUGGAGCUGCAGCUGAUUCACUCUGUGGCUCUCAGACUAAAGGCUACUUCACUUAUCAACAAAUUCUGUUUUCAAUUCAGUUUCAAUACUCAAAAUAAGACUUCAA
rnacentral:lncRNA from 15 species